UACGAAGGGGGCUAGCGUUGUUCGGAAUUACUGGGCGUAAAGGGCGCGCAGGCGGUCCUUCAAGUCAGGGGUGAAAGCCCAGAGCUCAACUCUGGAAUUGCCUUUGAAACUGACGGACUAGGAUACGGGAGAGGUGAGUGGAAUUCCGAGUGUAGAGGUGAAAUUCGUAUAUAUUCGGAAGAACACCAGUGACGAAGGCGGCUCACUGGCCCGUUACCGACGCUCAGGCGCGACAGCGUGGUGAGCAAACAGG
rnacentral:rRNA from 1 species